UGCUCCUGUCUUGUGAUCAUACACGUAUAAAUCUUUCGCCUUUUACUAAAGAUUUCCGUGGCUGCGGGACAGAAAUGGAGCUAACCCAAAUUUUUUGUUUAACAUUUCUUGUUUCUGAAAAGA
rnacentral:snRNA from 1 species